rnacentral:rRNA from 1 species
UCCACGCCGUAAACGAUGAUUACUCGAUGUUGGCGAUACACAGUCAGCGUCUUAGGGAAACCAAUAAGUAAUCCACCUGGGGAGUACGAUCGCAAGAUUGAAACUCAAAGGAAUUGACGGGGGCCCGCACAAGCGGAGGAGCAUGUGGUUUAAUUCGAUGAUACGCGAGGAACCUUACCUGGGCUAGAACGUAGAAUGACUAUAGGAGAAAUCUUAUAUCCCUUCGGGGCAGUCUACGAGGUGCUGCAUGGUUGUCGUCAGCUCGUGCCGUGAGGUGUCGGGUUAAGUCCCAUAACGAGCGCAACCCCUAUCUUUAGUUGCC